GAUGGAGAACGUAGCGAAAUGCGAUAAGUAAUGUGAAUUGCAGAAUUCAGUGAACCAUCGAAUCUUUGAACGCACAUUGCGCCCGGCAGUAAUCUGCCGGGCAUGCCUGUCCGAGCGUCAUUUCUCCCCUCGAGCGCAGCUUUCCCCCCCGGGGGAGGGCCGCGCCCGGUGUUGGGGCGCUACGGAGGAGCCCAGCGCUCCCCCGUAGGCCCCGAAAUGUAGUGGCGGUCCCGCCGCGGCGCCCCCUGCGUAGUAGUUUUACAACUCGCAUCGGGUCCCGGCGGAGGCCAGCCGUCAAACCCCCCAACUUCAAUAGUUUGACCUCGGAUCAGGUAGGGUUACCCGCUGAACUUAAGCAUAUCAAUAAGCGGAGGA
rnacentral:misc_RNA from 1 species